AGCUCCAUUAGCGUAUAUUAAAGUUGUUGCAGUUAAAAAGCUCGUAGUUGGAUUUCGGUGUGGGCCAGUCGGUCGGCCGCAAGGCUUGUUCACUGGCUGGUCUGCUCUCUCAAUCUCAAAGACUGCACGUGCUCUUCACUGUAGUGUGUGUCAGGAUUUGGGACGUUUACUUUGAAAAAAUUAGAGUGCUCAAAGCAGGCAUUUGCCUGAAUAGUUGUGCAUGGAAUGAUGGAAUAGGGCCUCGGUUCUAUUUUGUCGGUUCUCUGAACCCGAGGUAAUGAUUAAUAGGGACAGACGGGGGCAUUCGUAUUGCGACGUUAGAGGUGAAAUUCUUAGAUCGUCGCAAGACGAACUACUGCGAAAGCAUUUGCCAAGCAUGUUUUCAUUAAUCAAGAACGAA
rnacentral:rRNA from 1 species